AGAGUUUGAUCCUGGCUCAGGAUGAACGCUGGCGGCGUGCCUAAUACAUGCAAGUCGAGCGAACGGACGAGAAGCUUGCUUCUCUGAUGUUAGCGGCGGACGGGUGAGUAACACGUGGAUAACCUACCUAUAAGACUGGGAUAACUUCGGGAAACCGGAGCUAAUACCGGAUAAUAUUUUGAACCGCAUGGUUCAAAAGUGAAAGACGGUCUUGCUGUCACUUAUAGAUGGAUCCGCGCUGCAUUAGCUAGUUGGUAAGGUAACGGCUUACCAAGGCAACGAUGCAUAGCCGACCUGAGAGGGUGAUCGGCCACACUGGAACUGAGACACGGUCCAGACUCCUACGGGAGGCAGCAGUAGGGAAUCUUCCGCAAUGGGCGAAAGCCUGACGGAGCAACGCCGCGUGAGUGAUGAAGGUCUUCGGAUCGUAAAACUCUGUUAUUAGGGAAGAACAUAUGUGUAAGUAACUGUGCACAUCUUGACGGUACCUAAUCAGAAAGCCACGGCUAACUACGUGCCAGCAGCCGCGGUAAUACGUAGGUGGCAAGCGUUAUCCGGAAUUAUUGGGCGUAAAGCGCGCGUAGGCGGUUUUUUAAGUCUGAUGUGAAAGCCCACGGCUCAACCGUGGAGGGUCAUUGGAAACUGGAAAACUUGAGUGCAGAAGAGGAAAGUGGAAUUCCAUGUGUAGCGGUGAAAUGCGCAGAGAUAUGGAGGAACACCAGUGGCGAAGGCGACUUUCUGGUCUGUAACUGACGCUGAUGUGCGAAAGCGUGGGGAUCAAACAGGAUUAGAUACCCUGGUAGUCCACGCCGUAAACGAUGAGUGCUAAGUGUUAGGGGGUUUCCGCCCCUUAGUGCUGCAGCUAACGCAUUAAGCACUCCGCCUGGGGAGUACGACCGCAAGGUUGAAACUCAAAGGAAUUGACGGGGACCCGCACAAGCGGUGGAGCAUGUGGUUUAAUUCGAAGCAACGCGAAGAACCUUACCAAAUCUUGACAUCCUUUGACAACUCUAGAGAUAGAGCCUUCCCCUUCGGGGGACAAAGUGACAGGUGGUGCAUGGUUGUCGUCAGCUCGUGUCGUGAGAUGUUGGGUUAAGUCCCGCAACGAGCGCAACCCUUAAGCUUAGUUGCCAUCAUUAAGUUGGGCACUCUAAGUUGACUGCCGGUGACAAACCGGAGGAAGGUGGGGAUGACGUCAAAUCAUCAUGCCCCUUAUGAUUUGGGCUACACACGUGCUACAAUGGACAAUACAAAGGGCAGCGAAACCGCGAGGUCAAGCAAAUCCCAUAAAGUUGUUCUCAGUUCGGAUUGUAGUCUGCAACUCGACUACAUGAAGCUGGAAUCGCUAGUAAUCGUAGA
rnacentral:rRNA from 1 species